rnacentral:rRNA from 1 species
GUGAGGAAUAUUGGUCAAUGGGCGGGAGCCUGAACCAGCCAAGUCGCGUGAAGGAAGAAGGAUCUAUGGUUCGUAAACUUCUUUUGCAGGGGAAUAAAGUGCAGGACGUGUCCUGUUUUGUAUGUACCCUGAGAAUAAGGAUCGGCUAACUCCGUGCCAGCAGCAGCGGUAAUACGGAGGAUCCGAGCGUUAUCCGGAUUUAUUGGGUUUAAAGGGUGCGUAGGUGGUUUGAUAAGUCAGCGGUGAAAGUUUGCAGCUUAACUGUAAAAAUGCCGUUGAAACUGUCGGACUUGAGUGUAAAUGAGGUAGGCGGAAUGCGUGGUGUAGCGGUGAAAUGCAUAGAUAUCACGCAGAACUCCGAUUGCGAAGGCAGCUUACUAAGCUACAACUGACACUGAAGCACGAAAGCGUGGGGAUCAAACAGGAUUAGAAACCCUAGUAGUCC